rnacentral:rRNA from 1 species
UGCAGUCGAGCGGGAGGGGCAGCAAUGCCCUGAGAGCGGCGCACGGGUGCGUAACGCGUAUGCAACCUGCCUUAUACAAAGGGAUAGCCCAUGGAAACGUGGAUUAAUAUCUUAUAGGACUUAAGAAUCGCAUGGUUUUUAAGUUAAAACUACGGUGGUAUAAGAUGGGCAUGCGUCUGAUUAGGUAGUUGGUAGGGUAACGGCCUACCAAGCCGACGAUCAGUAGGGGUUCUGAGAGGAUUACCCCCCACACUGGUACUGAGACACGGACCAGACUCCUACGGGAGGCAGCAGUGAGGAAUAUUGGUCAAUGGGCGAGAGCCUGAACCAGCCAUCCCGCGUGCAGGAUGACGGCCCUAUGGGUUGUAAACUGCUUUUCUGCUCCAAGAAACCCACCUACGUGUAGGUGGUUGACGGUAGAGUAGGAAUAAGCAUCGGCUAACUCCGUGCCAGCAGCCGCGGUAAUACGGAGGAUGCAAGCGUUAUCCGGAUUCAUUGGGUUUAAAGGGUGCGCAGGUGGGAAUGUAAGUCAGUGGUGAAAUACUGCCGCUUAACGGUAGAGCUGCCAUUGAUACUGCGUUUCUUGAGUAUGGUUGAGGUAGGUGGAAUGUGUUGUGUAGCGGUGAAAUGCAUAGAUAUGACACAGAACGCCGAUUGCGAAGGCAACUUACUAAGCCAUUACUGACGCUGAGGCACGAAAGCGUGGGUAGCGAACAGGAUUAGAUACCCUGGUAGUCCAC